CCCUAAUCCCCAAUAUUUAGACCACCAGUUUUAAGUCUCCAUUUGCAGAAUUCCAUUGGACUGUCUAUCUCUGUAUCUCUCAUUUUCUCUCUCUAAAUUUAAUUUUGUACAGCUAAACCAUGAAUGGUGGCUCCUCCAAUUCGGCCGGUGGUGGUGGUGAUGGAGCAUCCAAAUUGCUUGCUGACCUCCCCUCUCGCGGCCUCUUGUCCGCCAAUGUAGUUUCAUCAAACCUGGUACAUCUCAAUCCCCUAAAACCUAAUUGUAUUUUUUAAAUCUUUG
rnacentral:lncRNA from 1 species